AUGCUACCGACAAAUAUGCUCAAUGCUGCAACCGGUGCUAUGCGGAGUCUGCAUGACAGUGUUCUUGCUUUGGAGAAGCGGCGUCUCAGAGAGAAGGAUGUGGCAUACCCGGUUUUCGCGGCCAAGGUGCCAGAGGGCAAGGGCUUUGUGGAUAACUCCAUCGGGCGUAUGAUCGUCCUGCGUUUUGAUGACAUCCACGCUAUGUUGAACCUUCAUCCGCUGCACUACACCUUCGUUCGGCUAUUUUCGCUGAGUAUGGAGAUGCGGAUCAUUCGCGACAAGACCCCGGACAUCGUGAUAGUCGACCCCUUCUACAUGCGUGCCAAGAUCUUGGGCAGCGCUGGGGACCGGCAAGUCGCGAGUUCUUACCUCGAAGGCGUCAUUCUGGCAAACCAAGAUAAGGAUAACUUCCUCGUGCCUUACUUUCCCGAGUAA
rnacentral:rRNA from 1 species